rnacentral:lncRNA from 1 species
CGCUCCGAACUCCCGAACUGACUCAAAUGAUUCGCCGCUCCGAUCUCUGUAGGUUUCAACUCUAGAGAAAGGGACAGCGAGAGACAGAGAGAGAUAAAUAAGAAACAUUUGUUUAACAUAUUCAACUAGAGCUGAAACAACUAAUCGACUAAAAUCGAUUAUUAAAAUAGUUGUCAACUAAUUUAGUCAUCAAUUAGUUGCUAAACAACUUUUAUUUGCCAUAAGCGGCUCAUUUUGUGCAUAUUUUAAAUCUGCGAUGACCAAAGUGGGGCAGUAAUGAGCCACCGCAGGUUUUAUUCAGCCAGUACAGCAAGAGAAGUAGCGAAUAGCCAAUAGCUGGCUUCGUUUUGUCACGUGUUUCCCGAACUGCGUCUGCAGCAUUCAGCGAGAUGGUGGAGACAGACGGCAGUGGAGUAAUCUUGAAAAAGAAAAAGAAAAAAACUGAAGAUAAAACUUGCAGCUUAAUUAUGACUGAAUGAGAGAGUUAAAUGUUUAAAUGUAUUUGAAAUUAACUUUUUUCCCCUAAGUAUUCACUGCUCUUUUUCACACAGCAGGUUUUUGUGUCAAUUUUUUUUUUUUCUGGACAACCUUCUGAUGGAUUUUACUUUAAAAUUGAGAAUUGUGUCAUGGGCGGGGCCACGUUCCUAUUGGCCAGUCGGGUGAGCAUCGUCUUGUCUUGGGAGUCGAACUGAAUCAUUACACCAUUGUUGGUUCACCUGCAUUAGAUGCCGCCUCUGCCUGUUAAGUUGAGCACGGACACUCCAAUGUUUGGGCAAGAUGAUGACACACAGCUGGCUGAGCAAGUUCAGUAUCACUGAAGAUUAAACAUUAAAAAAUAGCACUCAUAUUCAUGAAUGAAUGUGUAUUAUGUUAUUUGCUUGCUAAUCGCUAGUAAAGCUACCCAGCCAUCAUGCUAGGUAAACUUGCAAACUCACCUGGUUUAUACUAUGUUUAAAUCAAAUGCCAAAUUAAUGUUUUGAUUUAGAUAGUUUCACGCCUUAUUUAGUGAGUAGUGAGCUAGUUUCGCACUUGCUAGCCUCAAAGCACCUGAAGAGUAACUGCUUGUUCAUACAACCUCCCGCACAACUUUCAACUAACGUUAGUAUGCAUGGAAGGAGGCAACCCUACAGCUAACGUUAGACAAUGAUUGAUAUACCGUUUGGAAGAUU